CACACCUUAACAAAUUAUCAUCCUGUUUCCAAUAUUUUUAUCUAGUACAUGUUCUCUUUCAUUGUAGCAUGGACUUGAAGAUAUAUUUAUGAAUUUAGAAUAUCAUCAAGUGACUUAAAAUUAAUAAGGCACUGCUUUCAGUGGAUGAACCGACAUUAUGCAGUGUGACAGGAAAACGCCCGUGAGACCAAAGAUGGCUUAGAUAAAAGGGAAGACGAUGCAGAAGCCUCUGUACCAGAGAAAAAUCCAGAGAUGGCCCUCAAAGAAGUUAGAAACAAGAUGAGAGACCGUCUCAAGUUGUUUAGGUCUGGAGCCACCUUCCCCCACCCACGAGUCGAAGAAAUAGAUCUUUGAACCAGGUUACCCGUGACAUCAAGAUAAACAAAAUUCAACUUCAGGGACAAUUUGAUAAUACCUGUUUAAAAAUUUUUUUUUAGCUCACCUGGGCCGAAGGUUCAAGUGAACUUUUCUGAUCAAAAUUUGUUCGUUGUCUGUCGUCGGCGAAAACUUUUCACAUUUUCAUCUUCUCCAGAACCACUGGGUCAAUUUCAACCAAACUAAGUGACACAAAGCACCCUUGGGUGAAAGGCUUUCAAGUUUGUUCAAAUGAAGGGCCAUGCCCCUUCAAAGGGGAGAUAAUCGCAAAAAUACGGUGGGGUCAUUCAAAAAUCUUCUCAAGAACCACUGGGACAGAGAAGCUGAAAUUUACAUGAAAGCCUCCUGACAUAGUACAGAUUCAAGUUUGUUAAAACCAAUGACCUGGGGGGGGGUGGAUUGGGUCUCAAUAGGGGAUCAAAGUUUUACUUACAAAUAUACAGGGAAAAUCUUUAUGAAAAUUGUCUUCUCAAGAAACACUUGGCCAGAAAUGCUUAGAUUUACAUGAAAGCUUCCCGACAUAGUGUAGACUCAAGUUUGUAAAAUUCACAGGGUUGUCACUAACGCAAGAAUAGGAUCACAGAAAUUUCAUUGGGGUUUGUCUGAUAUGGCGAGUCCCGCAGACGUGUCUCGGACUCUGAGUAAAAAUCAUAAUUUUACUUAAAAGCCCUGAUUUGUGUAUUAAUUAAAACUUAUAGGUAAAACGUUACGCUCUAAUGUGAACCGAGAUGAUACCACCGAGUUCACAGUGUCCCAAUCCGACUUGUUUGUUUAGUGCAGUCAAUUAGGUGCAAAUUAGAAUAUAGUAUUGAAAUUUAGAUACAAAGUAAAAAAAAACAUUUUGCCACUCACAGGCAGUUAUUUAUAUAUGUUUCUUUUUCUUUUUUUUUUUUACAAAUCAGGAUCUAUAUUUAAUUAUAAAUGUUUGUCUUCCGGUAGCCAUUUUUAUUGGAAUUGAAAGUAGCGUAGUUUGUAAACUUUGGUAGAUUUUACAUCAUUUUACAAACAAAAUUAGUACGCAUCUAUUUUAUCACAAUAAUUAUUUAAUUAAAAUUUUGUUUAAUACUGAAUAGGGUUGUAACGAUGAUAGAGGAUUCGGGGAAGUAAUUCUGUUUGCAAUGGGCAAUUAGUUGUGUGAGACCGAGUCGUGAAUGAUUACUUUUAAUUUCAUGUGUACAAAGUGAUCACUGCACUGUUAUGCAUGGGCUUGGCGAAAAUUAACUGAUUUUUGCCAUUUGUUGAAGAUGAAAAUGAACAGAGGUACGACAUUAGCUUGUGUUCACUCAGUAUAAAUAAAGGUGUAGGAAAAAUCUAAAUGACUCUUUAAUUCAACUUUCAUGGGACUCGUCAAAUUUUCAUAGGACUCGUCAAAUUUUCAUGGGACUCAAGCUGCUUACAAACCAUGAUACCGGGACUCGUCUUCAAUAUUUUCUAGUGACAACCCUGAAUCGUGGCCCCCAAGGGUAGGUUUUGGCCACAUAGGGACAAAAGUUUUACAUACAAGUAUAUGGGAAAUCUUUAAAUAUGGACCAAGAUGACUAAGGUGAGCGAUGUGGCCCAUGGACCUCUUGUUUAAUUAUUUGUUUACGUAAGAAAUAGUGCUUUUUAGCUCACCCCAGCCAUAAUUUAAAUGAACUUUUCAAAGUACUUGCUUUGGAAGUUCAUAUAAGUAUUGCUGAAAUUUAUGUAUAUGUAUGUUAAAUAAAUUUUAUUAUCAGAU